rnacentral:tRNA from 1 species
GGCCCCGUCGUCUAAUGGUCAGGACUCCAGAUUUUCAUUCUGGCAACGGGGGUUCGAUUCCCCCCGGGGCUA